rnacentral:rRNA from 1 species
ACGGCUCAGUAACACGUGGCUAAUCUGCCCUUAGGACGAGAACAACCCCGGGAAACUGGGGCUAAUUCUCGAUAGGCGAAGAACACUGGAACGUGUCUUCACCCAAACAGUACGGCGUUAUGCUCGUUGCACCGCCUAAGGAUGAGGCCGCGGCCGAUCAGGUUGUUGGUGAGGUAAUGGCUCACCAAGCCUUUUACCGGUGCGGGCCGUGGGAGCGGGAGCCCGGAGAUGGGUACUGAGACAAGGACCCAGGCCCUACGGGGCGCAGCAGUCGCGAAAACUUUGCAAUAGGCGAAAGCCUGACAGGGCUAUCCCGAGUGCCAUCCGCUGAGGAAGGCUUUUACCCAGUCUAGAACGCUGGGGGAAUAAGGAGAGGGCAAGUCUGGUGUCAGCCGCCGCGGUAAUACCAGCUCUCCGAGUGGUGUGGAUGUUUAUUGGGCCUAAAGCAUCCGUAGCUGGCUAAGUUAGUCCCUUGUUAAAUCCACCGAAUUAAUCGUUGGAUCGCGGGGGAUACUGCUUGGCUAGGGGACGAGAGAGGCAGACGGUAUUUUCGGGGUAGGGGUGAAAUCCUAUAAUCCCGGGAAGACCACCAGUGGCGAAGGCUGUCUGCUAGAACGCGCCCGACGGUGGGGGAUGAAAGCUGGGGGAGCGAACCGGAUUAGAUACCCGGGUAGUCCCAGCUGUAAACGAUGCAGACUAGGUGUUUGAACGGCCACGUGCCGUUCUAGUGCCGCAGGGAAGCUGUUAAGUCUGCCGCCUGGGGAGUACGAUCGCAAGAUUGAAACUUAAAGGAAUUGGCGGGGGAGCAC